rnacentral:rRNA from 1 species
UACGUAGGGGGCAAGCGUUGUCCGGAUUUACUGGGCGUAAAGAGCGUGUAGGCGGCCAUACAGGUCCGUUGUGAAAACUGGGAGGCUCAACUUCCAGACGUCGACGGAAACCGUGUGGCUAGAGUCCGGAAGAGGAGAGUGGAAUUCCUGGUGUAGCGGUGAAAUGCUUAGAUAUCAGGAGGAACACCGGUGGCGAAGGCGGGU